CCUACGGGGGGCAGCAGUAGGGAGUCUUUCACAAUGGGCGAAAGCCUGAUGGAGCAACGCCUCGUGCAGGAUGAAGGCCUUCGGGUUGUAAACUGCUUUUAUAAGCGAGAAAUAUGAUGGUAACUUAUGAAUAAGGAUCGGCUAACUACGUGCCAGCAGCCGCGGUCAUACGUAGGAUCCGAGCAUUAUCCGGAGUGACUGGGUGUAAAGAGUUGCGUAGGUGGCAUAAUAAGUAGCUAGUGAAAUCUGGUGGCUCAACCAUUCAGACUAUUAGCUAAACUGUUAAGCUCGAGACCGUUAGGGGUAACUGGAAUUUCUAGUGUAGGAGUGAAAUCCGUAGAUAUUAGAAGGAACACCAAUAGCGUAGGCAGGUUGCUGGGACGGUUCUGACACUAAGGCACGAAAGCGUAGGGAGCAAACGGGAUUAGAUACCCGAGUAGUC
rnacentral:rRNA from 1 species